rnacentral:misc_RNA from 1 species
UCCCGUUUGACACGGGCAGUCCCUUUAGAGUGCCCAACUUAAUGAUGGCAACUAAAGGCAAGGGUUGCGCUCGUUGCGGGACUUAACCCAACAUCUCACGACACGAGCUGACGACAGCCAUGCAGCACCUGUGUUCCCGCCAGCCGAACUGAAGGAUCUCAUCUCUGAAACCCAUACGGGACAUGUCAAGGGCUGGUAAGGUUCUGCGCGUUGCAUCGAAUUAAACCACACGCUCCA